UGGGUGACCUGCCCUCAGCUCUGGGAUAAGCCCGGGAAACUGGGUCUAAUACUGGAUAUGACCUCUCAUCGCAUGGUGGGUGGUGGAAAGUUUUUCGGCUGGGGAUGGGCCCGCGGCCUAUCAGCUUGUUGGUGGGGUGAUGGCCUACCAAGGCGACGACGGGUAGCCGGCCUGAGAGGGCGACCGGCCACACUGGGACUGAGACACGGCCCAGACUCCUACGGGAG
rnacentral:rRNA from 1 species